AUGGAUUUAGAUCAAAUUGUAUCUCGGCCGAACAUAGAAAAGACAAUGUUCACAGAAUGGAUGACAGCCAACCAGUUGCAUGAAGAAGCUCGCAGUUUGACGUAUGCACAGUUUCCAACCAAAUGGACUUGGCAUGCACAAGAGAAAGAAUGGAGGAAAAGGCGUGGUGGACAAAAAACCAUAGGCAGGAUUUACUAUGCACAACCAACGAGCGGUGAAAAAUACUACUUGAGAAUGCUAUUAAAUACCGUCAAAGGAUGCAGAUCAUAUGAAGAAAUUCGAACAGUUGAUGGGGUUGUACAUCCAACAUUCAAAUCCGCAUGUUAUGCUCUUGGGCUACUUAAUGACGACAAAGAGUGGGAUGACUGCAUCAAGGAAGCAUCCCAUUGGGCCUCUGCUCCUCAAAUGCGCCAACUUUUCUGCACAAUACUUUUAUUUUGUGAGGUGACGGAUCCCGCAAAGUUGUGGCAAACAAAUUGGGAGUUACUAUCUGAGGAUAUCCAACGUCGGCAAAGAAGAAUAUUCAAUUUUCAGGCCCUGGAACUCAACUCGGCACAAAUAAAGAGCCUGCUCCUGGCAGAGAUAGAACAACUAUUGACUAAAGGUGGUAAGUCCCUCGAAGAUUUUCCAGGAAUGCCACUACCAGAUAGUUCAGUUCUUCAAGAUCUAAAUAAUAGAUUAGUAAAUGAGGAACUAAACUACGAUAAAGAUUCUUUAAGAAUAGAGCACAUGAAGUUACUGCAAAAGCUAAAUCAAGAUCAGAGGAUGGCUUUUGACGUUAUAAUAGAAUCAGUCAACGACAGUCUUGGAAAAUUGAUUUUUGUUGACAGAUAUGGUGGAACUGGAAAGACAUUUCUGUGGAAAGCAGUCACGACAAAAUUAAGAUCUGAAGGAAAAAUAGUUCUAGCAGUUGCUUCAAGUGGUAUAGCAGCACUUCUUUUACAAGGUGGAAGAACAGCUCAUUCAAGAUUUCACAUUCCCCUCAAGAUCACUAAUGAGUCCACAUGCAACAUCAAGCAAGGAACAUUUCUUGCGGAGCUAAUAAAGAAAAUGUCACUGAUAAUAUGGGAUGAAGCACCUAUGACACACAAGCACUGUUUUGAGGCACUAGAUAAGAGUUUGAGAGACAUACUUCGAUUCACAUACGAGGACGCAGAGCAUAGACCAUUUGGAGGAAUGACAGUAGUCUUGGGAGGUGACUUCAGGCAAAUCCUACCAGUUAUACCGAAGGGGAAAAGGGAACAUAUCAUUUCUGCAUCAAUAAAGAGAUCCUACCUAUGGAAGAACUUUGACGAGUACCGACUCAAAGAAAAUAUGCGUCUAAAUUCAUCCGAAGGUAGUCCAGAAGAGAAAGCAAAAACAGCUGAAUUCGCAAACUGGAUACUAAACAUCGGCGAUGGCACAACAUCAACAGUAGAUGAAGAGGAUUGGGUUAGCAUCCCAGAGGACCUUAUUUUACAUGAAGGAGAUGACCCGAAAGCAUCUAUUGUUAACACCACCUACCCCGACUUACACAGAAAAUACACUGAUAGAACAUACCUAGAGGAAAGAGCGAUCUUGUGCCCAAGAAACGAGACUGUUGACCAGAUUAAUGCCUACAUCAUGAGUCAAAUUCCUGGAGAAGAGGUAACCUAUUUCAGUUCAGAUACAACAUGCAAGGCAAUGUCUACGGUGGAAGAUGAAGAUAUGUUGUACCCAACUGAGUUUUUGAAUAGUCUUACAUUUUCUGGAAUACCAGACCAUGAACUGAGGCUGAAAGUAGGGUUACCAAUAAUGCUUAUGAGGAACAUCAAUCAAAGUGCAGGACUUUGCAAUGGGACAAGACUAACAAUAACACAGCUAGGAAAGCGUUUCAUUGAAGGCCAGGUCAUAACAUGUCCUAACGUUGGUGACAAAGUUUACAUCCCACGAAUUAUCAUGUCACCAAGUGAUUCAAAAUGGCCUUUCAUUCUGAAAAGGAGACAAUACCCAAUAUCAGUGUGCUUUGCUAUGACUAUAAACAAAAGCCAGGGGCAAUCUCUCAAAAAAGUUGGACUCUACUUAGAAAGGCAAGUGUUCACACAUGGACAACUCUAUGUUGCAAUGUCAAGGGUGACCAGCAGAAAUGGAUUGAAGAUACUCAUAUCAGAUGAAGAGCGUCCAUCCGACAAGGUUGCAAAAAACAUUGUUUACAAGGAUAUAUUAUAG
rnacentral:rRNA from 1 species